CUCGCAACACAUUCAUUUGCAACUCAAAUUCAGACUUACCUCGUAGAAGAUUGCCGAUUAGUUGAUAUGCAAUUCUGUAUUUGAAUAAUGUUAUGUCUCCGUGACUCGUCAGUAUAUUAAAACGAAGAUGCUCAUUUACAAUAUAUAUAGUGCUUUUGAUUUUUCAUAUAAAAUACCAUAUUACUACGAACCACUAUAUAAUUUUAUUUACAGCAACAAGUUUGUGUUGUUUUUCCAAAACAGUAAAUGCACAUGGUGAUAUGUCAUAUAAAUUGAUAAUUACCAUAUAAUUUCUGGAUAAAUGACUUCUCUUAAUCCCUUAAUGGAAUACCUUUACAUGUCCAGGAAACAGUCUUUGUGUUUCAACACGGUUCAAUGACUGUGACUCAUCGCUUGAUUUUCAAAGUUGCAGUAUAAUUCGCUAAAUCUGAAGUGAAGAGCUCAGACUAAUAUCACUCGAUCCGUAUUACUAUCAGACUAAUAAAAUGAGAUAUCGAUCGCUUACUUGUCAACCAAAACGUAUUUUGG